rnacentral:sRNA from 1 species
AAUUAAAUUAGUAUUUGACUUUUUAAUCCUUAAAGAGAUAAAUUAAUUUACUCUUUAAAAUUUUAUUUCUAAUGGCAUACCUAUGUAAUUACUUACAAAAAUUAAGGUUACAUUUAAAAUGUACUUCCCAAAUAAUAUAGUAGGAUAAAUUGUUUUAUCUAUGAUUUAUGAAUAUCCACAUCAGUUCUGUAAA